rnacentral:rRNA from 1 species
UUAGUGGCAGACGGGUGAGUAAUGUAUAGGAAUCUACCUAGUAGUACGGAAUAAUUGUUGGAAAUGGCAGCUAAUACCGUAUACGCCCUACGGGGGAAAAAUUUAUUGCUAUUAGAUGAGCCUAUAUUAGAUUAGCUAGUUGGUGGAGUAAUAGCCUACCAAGGCAAUGAUCUAUAGCUGAUCUGAGAGGAUGAUCAGCCACACUGGAACUGAGAUACGGUCCAGACUCCUACGGGAGGCAGCAGUGGGGAAUAUUGGACAAUGGGCGAAAGCCUGAUCCAGCUAUGCCGCAUGAGUGAAGAAGGCCUUUGGGUUGUAAAGCUCUUUUAGUGAGGAAGAUAAUGACGGUACUUACAGAAGAAGUCCUGGCUAACUCCGUGCCAGCAGCCGCGGUAAUACGGAGAGGGCUAGCGUUAUUCGGAAUUAUUGGGCGUAAAGGGCGCGUAGGCUGGUUAAUAAGUUAAAAGUGAAAUCCCGAGGCUUAACCUUGGAAUUGCUUUUAAAACUAUUAAUCUAGAGAUUGAAAGAGGAUAGAGGAAUUCCUGAUGUAGAGGUAAAAUUCGUAAAUAUUAGGAGGAACACCAGUGGCGAAGGCGUCUAUCUGGUUCAAAUCUGACGCUGAAGCGCGAAAGCGUGGGGAGCAAACAGGAUUAGAUACCCUGGUAGUCCACGCUGUAAACGAUGAAUGUUAAAUAUGGGAAGUUUUACUUUCUGUAUUAUAGCUAACGCGUUAAACAUUCCGCCUGGGGACUACGGUCGCAAGAUUAAAACUCAAAGGAAUUGACGGGGACCCGCACAAGCGGUGGAGCAUGUGGUUUAAUUCGAUGCAACGCGAAAAACCUUACCACUUCUUGACAUGGAAAUCAUACCUAUUCGAAGGGAUAGGGUC